rnacentral:SRP_RNA from 1 species
UCGUGCUAGGCGGGGAGCUAGCGGUGCCCUGUAACCCGCAAUCCGCUCAGCGGGGCUGAAUGCCCGCCCGCGGUGCGUCCCCCGGGGACUGCCGAGAUCAAGCGGCGUUGAGAGCCUGGUCCUGCGCGACGAUGCCCGGUUAACCCCGUCAGGGCCGGAAGGCAGCAGCGGUACGCCGGUCACAUCGGGCGCCGUAGGAGCGCCGGGCUUGAGUUGGCUGGUGGAGGCAAGCCCGGAGUGCGUAUCAACGGCGGGGCACGA